AUGGCUCAGGAUGAACGCUGGCGGCGUGCCUAAUACAUGCAAGUCGAACGAGGUAGCAAUACCGAGUGGCGAACGGGUGAGUAACACGUAGGUAACCUGCCCUUAAGCUUGGGAUACCCAGAGGAAACUUGGCUAAUACCGGAUAACAACAGAGAAGGCAUCUUCUUUGCUUGAAAGGCCCCUUCAAGGGUCACUUAAGGAUGGACCUGCGGCGCAUUAAGCUAGUUGGUGAGAUAACAGCCCACCAAGGCGAGGAUGCGUAGCCGAACUGAGAGGUUGAUCGGCCACAUUGGAACUGAGACACGGUCCAAACUCCUACGGGAGGCAGCAGUAAGGAGUUUUCGGCAAUGGGGGAAACCCUGACCGAGCAACGCCGCGUGAGCGAUGACGGUCCUUUGGAUUUGUAAAGCUCUGUUGUAAGCCAUGAAUGACAGCUUGAGGAAAUGCAAGUUGUUUGACGACAGCUUACCAGAAAGCCACGGCUAACUACGUGCCAGCCGCAGC
rnacentral:rRNA from 1 species